GUGUCUCAAUCUGUAGCAAAGAAGGCCACAAGGCUCCAGGCCUGCACACCUUUACUGGUGGAAAUUAAGCAUCUUCAGAUUGUUUUCCUUUAGCUUCCCGAAGACCAGUCCUCAUGAAGAAAGUGAGGGAAUACUCAUUCUUACUCCCCUCCCACUUCUGUCAGAGGGAACAAUAUUUCCCAAAGUGUGGAAUUCAGACUAGUGCUGAAUAUGUAAGACCAGAGCUACACGAGAGCUCACACCUGCCUUGCACACAGUUGUAUCCUCAGUGCUCCUGCU